rnacentral:lncRNA from 1 species
CUGUAGUGGAUAUUGAAAGCUCACGCCGCAGUUUCGUCGCUGCGUCUGUUCGCUUCACAUCCCGUCGCUGGCCUCUCGUCUCCUUCUCCUGCGCCUAUAAAAGAGAGGUCGCUCCUCUCCAGAGACGACGCAUCAGAAGUUCCCACUCGCCACCGGUUCUUCUCUCUGUGCUGCUGCUACGUUCUUCCUCAUCCCGUCCUGCGGCGUGCACCGUUCGUCGGGACAGUAGGCCUCCGAAACUCCGUCUCUUCGAGUCCUGUACGGGAGAAGGGCGAUAAGGUUUUUGGGGAGCUCUCAUCACGACUACUGGCUUCCAUCACGGACUCCGACGAUCUCUUCCCGAACGACGACUACUUCCCCGACGUCGACCACCUCUUCGGUACCAUGGCCAACGACAACGCCAACACCAAUCCUCCUGCUGCUGCAACUCAGUACGUACUCAUGUGCUUCUUCUUUGAAUUCCUAUCACACCUUUUUGCUAUAGUUUCUCUGCUAGAUAUGUUCCGUUUCUACUCAUUACUCCAUAUGAUACCUUAUCUUUGUAGAACGGUUUUACAUAUGCUCUUUUCUGGAUCCUACGUGCACAUGUCUUGUGU